UGGCGAACGGGUGAGUAACGCGUGAGGAACCUGCCUCAAAGAGGGGGACAACAGUUGGAAACGACUGCUAAUACCGCAUAAGCCCACGGCUCGGCAUCGAGCAGAGGGAAAAGGAGCAAUCCGCUUUGAGAUGGCCUCGCGUCCGAUUAGCUAGUUGGUGAGGUAACGGCCCACCUAGUCUUCGAUGGAUAGGGGUUCUGAGAGGAAGGUCCCCCACAUUGGAACUGAGACACGGUCCGA
rnacentral:rRNA from 1 species